GUGGGGAAUAUUGCGCAAUGGGGGAAACCCUGACGCAGCGACGCCGCGUGGAGGAUGAAGGUCUUCGGGUUGUAAACUCCUUUUCUUGGGAAAGAUAAUGACGGUACCCAAGGAAUAAGCCACGGCUAACUCUGUGCCAGCAGCCGCGGUAAGACAGAGGUGGCGAGCGUUGUUCGGAAUUACUGGGCUUAAAGGGCGAGUAGGCGGUGGAGCAAGUCUGAGGUGGAAUCUUAGGGCUUAACCCUAAAACUGCCUUAGAAACUGUUUUACUUGAGUCAGUGAGGGGAGGGCGGAAUUCCUGGUGUAGCGGUGAAAUGCGUAGAUAUCAGGAGGAAGGCCUGUGGCGAAGGCGGCCCUCUGGCACUGUACUGACGCUGAGGCGCGAAAGCGUGGGUAGCAAACAGGAUUAGAUACCCCGGUAGUCC
rnacentral:rRNA from 1 species